GGGCCUUUGCUGUUGUUAUCCACUAGGCCUUCACGUGGCUGUGGAGCAGGAUGUGCUCACGUUAUCGCGAACACCUGGCAUGAUCACCUGAAUCAUGUCAACAGUUACAGUACUCAUUCUGACAUGCGCAGUGCUUGCCUGCAUACCGGUAGUGACGUCAAAUGAGUCCGGUCCGGUGCUUCCUGUCACUCAUCUGCGAGAUCCGCUUGUGAGACCGGACAUGGCCUGUCUCUACAUCUGUGAGAUGUGUUUCUGGGAGAACCCACAAAUGUUGAUGUUCUGCGUCAACACCGCCUGCAGCCGCACCUACUGCAACGUCGUCGACCUGGUGUAUAUAGGGAGGGCAUGCAACAACACAGAGUUACUGGAUAAGUACAUCUCUCCGACGAUGAAUACGGAUACGUAUUCCCAACAGGAAACGUAUGCACAGGAAACGUCCAACCAGUAGACGUGCAGUCCUGCUCGUCCAGCUUCGAAAUAAACAAACUUCGAUAAGGCUA